CUGGACUGCGAGACCUACAAGUCGAGCAGGGUCGAAAGACGGACGUAGUGAUCCGGUGGUUCCGCAUGGAAGGGCCAUCGCUCAACGGAUAAAAGCUACCCGGGGGAUAACAGGCUUAUCUCCCCCAAGAGUUCACAUCGACGGGGAGGUUUGGCACCUCGAUGUCGGCUCAUCGCAUCCUGGGGCUGUAGGCGGUCCCAAGGGUUGGGCUGUUCGCCCAUUAAAGCGGUACGCGAGCUGGGUUCAGAACGUCGUGAGACAGUUCGGUCCCUAUCCGUCGUGGGCGUAGGCAAUUUGAGAGGAGCUGUCCUUAGUACGAGAGGACCGGGAUGGACAUACCUCUGGAGUACCAGUAGUCGUGCCAACGGCAUAGAUGGGAAGCUAUGUCUGG
rnacentral:rRNA from 1 species